rnacentral:rRNA from 1 species
GAUCCUGGCUCAGGAUCAACGCUGGCGGCGUGCCUAACACAUGCAAGUCGAACGCUCUCUGCAACAGAGGGAGUGCCGGACGGGUGAGUAACGCGUGGGAACCUGCCCCAAAGUGAGGAAUACCGGCGAGAAAUCGCCGACAAUACCCCAUAGGCUUCUUGAAAGAGAAGCAAAGCCCGCAAGGGCGCUUUGGGAGGGGCCUGCGCCCGAUUAGCUGGUUGGUGAGGUAAGAGCUCACCAAGGCUGUGAUCGGUAGCUGGUCUGAGAGGACGAGCAGCCACACUGGGAUUGAGAACGGCCCAGACUCCUACGGGGGGCAGCAGUGAGGAAUUUUCGGCAAUGGGGGCAACCCUGACCGAGCAACGCCGCGUGCAGGAGGAAGGUCUUCGGAUCGUAAACUGCUUUACUGAGGGACGAGAAGGACG